AGAUAAGCCAAAUUUAUCAACUCCCUUAUAUAAUGGUUUCAACUGUUGAAAAGUGUUUUCAACGUCUAAGAAGGGGAUUGGAUGACAACCAACCAAUGAUUAAAUAAAACGUCAUCAGUUGUAACUUGUAAGGAAAGCUCUCUAGAUGGAUAGCCUAAUCUGCGAACCCGCUCUAGCUUGUGAGCUCAGAGAGAUAGGAGAGAAAAUAUCUUACGGAUGAUUGAGUCGGUCAUGGCCGUACGUCUAUUUCUGCUCCUCGACGGCAUUACUCCAGUAGUGUCCUGCACCGAGCACGGAGGAGGGAGUGAGCUGCUUCCAUUAUGCGUCUCGCCGCGCUUUUCAGCCUCAACGUCUCAACAAUACUGCAGGGUACUGUAGCUUCUUUUUGUUUCUUCAUCGAAUGACAAAUUGAUUUUGAGGUUAUUGUCUGUGGUUUUCCUUCGACGUGAAACUUGCGCUUUCUUGUUCUGAGAUUAUAGGUUUUGAAUAGCUAAUCCAUAGUGCGUUAGUACUUGGUCCUAUACUAACGAUGCAAUGUAUUUCUUAUCAAUGUGAAUGUUAACUCUAGUGCAACGUGAAUGUUUCUUGAUUAUAUAGAGCACUUUAUCAGUGAACCUUGGAAAUCUUAAAGUUCAUUUCUUUUGAAUUA